CGUGGAUUUGCUUUUAUUGAUUUCCCUUCGGUGGAUGCGGCCCAAGCAAUGAUGGACAAACUUGGGGAUGAGGGUCUAGUUGUGGAUGGUAGGAAGCUUUUUUUUGAGUACAGUAGCAAGCCAACUGGAGGCCCCGGUGGGCCCGGUGGUCUAGACAAUGCUUCAAGAUCUAACCAUGGUCACCACCGAAGCAUGACUGUUCCAUCCGAUUGGAUGUGUACCAUCUGUGGAUGUGUGAAUUUUGCACGGCGGACAUCUUGCUUUCAGUGUAAUGAGCCAAGAACAGAUGAUGCUCCUCCAGCAGACAUGGCAUCAUCCAACUCUAGCUCUCUAGGGAGGAGAGGUGAAGCAGGUCCCACACAUGUCUUGGUUGUCCGUGGAUUAGAUGAAAAUGCAGACGAGGAGAUGCUUCGUUAUGAAUUUUCCAAACAUGCUCCUAUUAAGGAUCUUCGUCUUGUCAGAGACAAGUUCACUCACGUGUCAAGGGGAUUUGCUUUUGUGCACUUCUAUUCGGUGGAGGAAGCUUCUAAAGCUCUUGAAGCAACAAAUGGGACAACUUUAGAGAAGAAUGGGCAGCUUCUUAGAGUUGCGUAUGCAAAAAGUAUCCUAGGACCAGGAUCUGGUACUUCUCAGGCUAGCAGUCUUGCUGCUGCUGCUAUUGAAGCAGCAACUUUUUCUCAACAGUAUGAUGCUGUUGGAUGG
rnacentral:misc_RNA from 1 species